UCCAGUCUCACGUGCUGUUACCGAUGUCUGGAUAUUUUGCUUGCCUUGCCCUGCUUGCCUUGCUUACCUGGCCUGGCUAUGUGCGAGUUCACAGCAACACAGUUCUGCUCUGGAUUGUGCUGCAGUCCCAGUGAACUCUUCCUGUGAUUAGGAGUCCUUGGAACCAAAUUCCCUGAACUGUGGCUGUUCUCAGAACCAUGCUGCUCCUCUGGACUAAUAGCAACCAGGAACUAUUGGAGGUGCAUGUUUAGAGAUUGGCUCCUGGACUUGCAGUGAAUGGUGGGACUUUUGGGGGAAAGUUGGAUAAAUAAAGGGGAGUUAAGCCUUUGUUCCAGCUGUGUUGCUUCCGUGCCCAGCCCCUGGUCAUCACACUUCAGCUUUCCUUUGCUUAACAGACCUGCAAAUAUCAUAAAUGUGAAGAUGAGUCAGAAAGUUACUUUUCCAUAACCGUUGUAACUGCAAAGAAGGCAGUUGCUAAACAAGGACUGCCUGUACUGGAAAAAGAUAAGAGAUGGAGACCAUAAGCAAUGAGAAGAGCAGGAGGAAUUCAUCUCUGGCCUAUACAUCUAUAUUUGAUCCAUCAAUUGUGUGGAACAGGGCAAGCCUCCUUCUUUCAGGCAAUAGAUACCAAUUCUCAGAAAUUUGUUCUUGGAAGUUGACAGCAAACCACCAUGGCAAAAUUGUGAACUAUGAGCAAUAGAAUCCAAGCACUAUACCAAAACCUUUGCAGGUGGUGAAGCCAGCAAUAUAUACAUCCAACUAGAAAGGAACCAAUGAAUCUCUGUACCCAAUGCAUCUUCAAGUCAGUGUUUGCUCCUGGUGACUUCCUGGGCAAGUAGCUGCUUUGUUCUUGGCAAGAUUUCAGAAGUGGUUUGCCAUUGUCUCCUUCCUAGAGCUGAGAGUGAUUGGCCCAUGGUCACCCAGCUGACAUUGUGUCUAAAUCUCUUUGUGUCUACACCAAAUUGGCUUUUUUUUCUAGAAUAGUUAUGCUACAAAAAGAAGAAAGGAAUUACAAGAUAGGGGAUAAAAAGAUGUAUGUGUAUUUCUUUAUAGCCAGUGUAGUGUGUUCACUAAAAUGUUGAUCCAAUCUGCUCUCAGUUAUGAAAGCCUGUUGCCAUUCAUUCCCUUAGUCUUAUCUAUUUCACAUGGUUGUUGUUGUUGCAUGAAUAAAAUGAAGAGAAUUUUCUAUGUCA